rnacentral:lncRNA from 13 species
UUUUUGCAGACAAACAGCUGAUGCUAUUACCAGUAUUUAUAAGAAGAGAACAGUCCACUAUUCAGCCUAACCACUGGAGCAGAGCAGGCCAUUAUUUCCUUGGAAAUAUCUGAUUUUGUGAUAUUUGAAAUUUUACAGUUCUUUAAUUUGGGAUGUUAAAACUAGUUAUUUGGGUUUAGGUGGCGGAGUCAGAGCCCCUUGUUGUUCAGGCAGACGUCAUGCAGAGGGAGCUAGAGAGCUGACUAAGAAGAGAGUACACCCCUGAAAAUUUACCUUUGCUUCUGUUGCAGUAUUACACAGAAAGAAUUACCCAGCUGGUCCAGAGUAAAUAUUUACACAUACUUAGGUGGAAGAGGUUUUGCCAACACAGUAAGAUCAUGGAGCAACUUAUCCUCUUUACAAGGUAGGAAGUCUAUGAACAGAAUCUCUAGGCUAUUUUUUAAUAUUGAAACAAAAUGGCCAAUAAGCUUGUCAGUUUUUUAAAAGUCACAGCUAAAGACAGAAAAUAAACUAAUGGAUGUACCGUUUCA